GCUUCCUUUUUUGUGCAUUUGACAUGUCUGGCAUUGGUUGAUUUGGUUUCUCAUUGGGAAUGGCAUGGGAUAAUCUUCUACUACUGCUGUCUUCAGGUUGCUCGUAGAGAAGGAUGAUACUUGGAGGAUAUACAUAGUCUCCCCCUUUUUUUCUUUUUCUUUUUAAACAAUUUGAUGAGACAUUAAAAAUCUUUUAUUUCCCUUGUUAUUGAGACAUAGCUACACUAAUAAAUGCAUUGUAAUUCCUUUUUUUUUUUUUUUUUCUCAACUUUGUUGUGAAUUGAGUUUAUUUCAUAAAAAAUUUGGUUUAUGAA